rnacentral:misc_RNA from 1 species
CAAGUUCUGAGUGAUCCUGUGAAACGACAAGAAUAUGACAACAAAGGGAUGCUACGAGCCUAUGAUUACAAUAUCGUCGAAUACCUUAAUCGCUACAAGGGUCUUAUUCUAACGUGUAACGGUCUUGGUAUGAAGCACUCAAUAUGGUAAAAAACGAAGACACACCCUCUCGUUGUAGUAUAUCUUGCGAUCCUACUGGCACCACCACAUAUUACAGGAGUUGGAAUGCACAAAAGCUGGAUCUGUAGUUGACAUCAAUUAGGCUAUUGUACUAUCUUUGCACAUGUACUGCCCUAUUCACAAACCUCAUUUUAGAGUACUGUUUAUAAGAAACCUUGUUUCUUCUAUUCUAUCCUCUUCUCUUUUUGGGAGGUGUAUCGACUGAAGAACUGGUGGCUCUCGUUCACAUAGAUUUCUUUCGAG